rnacentral:rRNA from 1 species
CGGCGUCCGAGUUGUAAUUUGCAGAGGGCGCUUUGGCAUUGGCAGCGGUCCAAGUUCCUUGGAACAGGACGUCACAGAGGGUGAGAAUCCCGUACGUGGUCGCUAGCCUUUACCGUGUAAAGCCCCUUCGACGAGUCGAGUUGUUUGGGAAUGCAGCUCUAAAUGGGAGGUAAAUUUCUUCUAAAGCUAAAUACUGGCCAGAGACCGAUAGCGCACAAGUAGAGUGAUCGAAAGAUGAAAAGCACUUUGGAAAGAGAGUUAAAAAGCACGUGAAAUUGUUGAAAGGGAAGCGCUUGCAGCCAGACUUGCCUGUAGUUGCUCAUCCGGGUUUUUACCCGGUGCACUCUUCUAUAGGCAGGCCAGCAUCAGUUUGGGCGGUUGGAUAAAGGUCUCUGUCAUGUACCUCCUCUCGGGGAGAACUUAUAGGGGAGACGACAUGCAACCAGCCCGGACUGAGGUCCGCGCAUCUGCUAGGAUGCUGGCGUAAUGGCUGUAAGCGGCCCGUCUUGAAACACGGACCAAGGAGUCUAACAUCUAUGCGAGUGUUUGGGUGUCAAGCCCGAGCGCGUAAUGAAAGUGAACGGAGGUGGGAACCUUUCGGGGUGCACCAUCGACCGAUCCUGAUGUCUUCGGAUGGAUUUGAGUAAGAGCAUAGCUGUUGGGACCCGAAAGAUGGUGAACUAUGCUUGAAUAGGGUGAAGCCAGAGGAAACUCUGGUGGAGGCUCGCAGCGGUUCUGACGUGCAAAUCGAUCGUCAAAUUUGGGCAUAGGGGCGAAAGACUAAUCGAACUAUCUAGUAGCUGGUUCCUGCCGAAGUUUCCCUCAGGAUAGCAGUAACGUUUUCAGUUUUAUGAGGUAAAGCGAAUGAUUAGAGGCCUGGGGGUUGAAACAACCUUCACCUAUUCUCAAACUUUAAAUAUGUAAGAAGUCCUUGUUACUUAAUUGAACGUGGACAGUUGAAUGUAUCGUUACUAGUGGGCCAUUUUUGGUAAGCAGAACCGGCGAUGCGGGAUGAACCGAACGCGGGGUUAAGGUGCCAGAAUAUACGCUCAUCAGACACCACAAAAGGUGUUAGUUCAUCUAGACAGCAGGACGGUGGCCAUGGAAGUCGGAAUCCGCUAAGGAGUGUGUAACAACUCACCUGCCGAAUGAACUAGCCCUGAAAAUGGAUGGCGCU